rnacentral:rRNA from 1 species
AACGAACGCUGGCGGCAUGCCUAACACAUGCAAGUCGAACGGGAUCCACCUUUCGGGGUGGUGAGAGUGGCGGACGGGUGAGUAACGCGUGGGAACCUGCCCAGUGGUGGGGGAUAACUGCGGGAAACUGCAGCUAAUACCGCAUGAGCCCGAGAGGGGAAAGAUUUAUCGCCAUUGGAGGGGCCCGCGUUCGAUUAGGUAGUUGGUGGGGUAGUGGCCUACCAAGCCGACGAUCGAUAGCUGGUCUGAGAGGAUGAUCAGCCACACUGGGACUGAGAUACGGCCCAGACUCCUACGGGAGGCAGCAGUGGGGAAUAUUGGACAAUGGGGGCAACCCUGAUCCAGCAAUGCCGCGUGAGUGAUGAAGGCCUUCGGGUUGUAAAGCACUUUUGCCAGGGACGAUGAUGACGGUACCUGGAGAAUAAGCCCCGGCUAACUUCGUGCCAGCCGCCGCCGUAACAC